rnacentral:rRNA from 1 species
CCUACGGGUGGCAGCAGUGAGGAAUAUUGGUCAAUGGGCGGAAGCCUGAACCAGCCAAGUCGCGUGAGGGAGUAAGGCCCUACGGGUCGUAAACCUCUUUUUCCGGGGCGCAGUGCCCAGCUCGUGAGCUGGGAGGCAGCGUACCCGGAGAAAAAGCAUCGGCUAACUCCGUGCCAGCAGCCGCGGUAAUACGGAGGAUGCGAGCGUUAUCCGGAUUUAUUGGGUUAAAGGGGUGCGUAGGCGGGCCUUCAGGCCGGCGGGAAAAUUGCGGGGCUAAACCCCGCCGAGCCGUCGGAACCGGGGGCCUUGAGUACCGGAGAGGUACGCGGAAUGCGUGGUGUAGCGGUGAAAUGCGUAGAUAUCGCGCAGAACCCCGAUUGCGAAGGCGGCGUACCGGACGGUCACUGACGCUGAGGCACGAAAGCGCGGGUAUCGAACAGGAUUAGAUACCCUAGUAGUC